rnacentral:rRNA from 1 species
UACAGAGGUCUCAAGCGUUGUUCGGAUUCAUUGGGCGUAAAGGGUGCGUAGGCGGCGCGGUAAGUCGGGUGUGAAAUUUCGGAGCUUAACUCCGAAACUGCAUUCGAUACUGCGGUGCUUGAGGACUGGAGAGGAGACUGGAAUUCAUGGUGUAGCAGUGAAAUGCGUAGAGAUCAUGAGGAAGACCAGUGGCGAAGGCGGGUCGUCUGGACAGUUCCUGACACUGAGGCACGAAGGCCAGGGGAGCAAACGGG